rnacentral:rRNA from 1 species
UGCUUUACACACGCAAGUCGAGCGGCAGCGCGGGGGCAACCCUGGCGGCGAGCGGCGAACGGGUGAGUAAUACAUCGGAACGUACCCAGUGGUGGGGGAUAGCCCGGCGAAAGCCGGAUUAAUACCGCAUACGACCUGAGGGGGAAAGUGGGGGACCGCAAGGCCUCACGCCGCUGGAGCGGCCGAUGUUCGAUUAGCUAGUUGGUGGGGUAAAGGCCUACCAAGGCGACGAUCGAUAGCUGGUCUGAGAGGACGACCAGCCACACUGGAACUGAGACACGGUCCAGACUCCUACGGGAGGCAGCAGUGGGGAAUUUUGGACAAUGGGGGCAACCCUGAUCCAGCCAUUCCGCGUGAGUGAAGAAGGCCUUCGGGUUGUAAAGCUC